UACGGGGGGAGCAAGCGUUGUUCGGAUUUACUGGGCGUAAAGGGCUCGUAGGCGGCCAACUAAGUCCGACGUGAAAUCCCCAGGCUUAACCUGGGAACUGCGUCGGAUACUGGAUGGCUUGAAUCCGGGAGAGGGAUGCGGAAUUCCAGGUGUAGCGGUGAAAUGCGUAGAUAUCUGGAGGAACACCGGUGGCGAAGGCGGCAUCCUGGACCGGCAUUGACGCUGAUGAGCGAAAGCCAGGGGAGCAAACGGG
rnacentral:rRNA from 1 species